UACGUAGGGUGCGAGCGUUAAUCGGAAUUACUGGGCGUAAAGCGUGCGCAGGCGGUUUUGUAAGACAGGUGUGAAAUCCCCGGGCUUAACCUGGGAACUGCGCUUGUGACUGCAAGACUUGAGUACGGCAGAGGGGGGUAGAAUUCCACGUGUAGCAGUGAAAUGCGUAGAGAUGUGGAGGAAUACCGAUGGCGAAGGCAGCCCCCUGGGUCGAUACUGACGCUCAUGCACGAAAGCGUGGGGAGCAAACAGG
rnacentral:rRNA from 1 species